GCCAGUGGGGCUCUAUUUUAUUUUUAUGCCCAGAAAUUGCUAUUCACCACAUAGGCAGUGCCCCUGGAAAUUUGACCCUGCUGUAGCUGGCUUGAGUUCCAAGUCCGGAUGUACACGCAAAAUGCCCCAAUCUUGGAGACAGGUUAUUUUCAGGGUUCAGCAGCCCUGGGCAAGUCGUUUAUGACAAUGUGUGUAAUUUCUGUUGUGCACUGCACUCUGUGUGCCUAUUGCGGGAAUUCACGGCGGUCACUGCCCAUGAUGCAGCUGCGAACGGGCAGGUGAGAAAUGGUGAAUUUUGGCCAUUUGUGCGCACCUGUUCAUUUCAAUGUACCUGUGGGUUAAUGGGCCCAGCUACAAUGUGGAUCACGAAAUUGCUUAGAUUUUUGGUUUGCUAGUAGGCGGCUUACACUAGUAGGCAGUGCCCCAGGAAAUUGGACCCUGCUGUAACUGGCUUAAGUUCCAAGUCCGGAUGUACGGGGAAAAGCCCCAAACUUGGAAAUCGAUUAUUCUCAGAUUUCAGCAGCCCCGGGCAGGUCAUUUCUGACAAUGUGUGUCAUUUCUGUUGUGCACUACACUUUGUGUGUCUAUUGCAGGAAUUCAUGGUGGUCAUUGUCCUUGUUGCAGCUGUGCAUAGUCGGAAAUGAAUUCACUGCGGUCACUGUCCAUGUUGCAGCUGUGAAUAGUCGGAAAGGAAUUCACGGUGGUCAUUGUCAGUGUUGCAGCUGUGAAUAGCCUGAAACAUGAGAAAUGGUGAACUUUUGGACCAUUUGUGCGCACCAGUUGGCCAAGCUGCAAUGUGGGUGCUGGAAUUGCUUUGACAUUAUUUUGGUUUGCUAGUACGCCGCUUGUACUCGUUGGCAGUGCCCUAGGAGAUUUGACCCAGCUGUUACUGGCUUGAGUUCCAAGUCCGGAAACACGGGCAAAAAGCCCCAAACUUGAAGAUGGUUAUUUUCAGCUUUCAGCAGCCCAGGCAAGUCGUUUAUGGCAAUGUGUGUCAUUCCUGUUGUUCACUUCUCUUUAGUUGGAAGGUUGAGAAAUUGUGAAUGUACUGUCGUGGACGUGCAAAUCCGGUCGCACGUCUAGCGGCCCCAGGGCGCUAGCCAUGCAGCCGAGGAUAAGCGGAAUGCUGAAUGUAUAUGCACUGCAGCGCGCUGGUCGCAUCGGAUCAACAUGACUGCACGCAGCGUUCUGUACGCGCUGAGGGCGGCGGUCCCGGUCAAUCGACUGGAUUUCUAUGUCCGCUACAGUACCUGUGUGUAAAUGGGCCCAGUUGCAAUGUGGGUGCUGGAAUUGCUUUGAUUUUUUGAUUUGCUUGUAGGGCCGGAAAGAAAGAAUUUGGUACAGCACUCACACUUUUCCCUUAACAUACCAACACUCAAAUACCCACCCACACACAUGUACCUCACCUGCAUUUCCCCAAUCUACACUUACUUCAACACUACUCGCUGCUCACGUAAUAGCGCAUCCAAUAGUGCUAGCUUUAGAUUAUCAGUGUUGGUUGUAUCAGUUUUACUUCGAAGUAGAUCUAAACUUUAUGGUACCAUAAUCAAUAUUUUUCCUUCGUCGUCCAACUCUCGGUGUGAUGAAGAUUUCGUUCAAAUCAUAUUGUCCUGUUGUUCUCAAGUAUGAGUGCGAACACUUUACUUUCAUCGAUAUGAAGAUUCUUGCCUGCCGACUUUUUGAUCAUUUUUUAGCUUAUCCUACCUCUGAACUUCCCACCUGAAAUGUUUGGUCAACCGCCCUCAGCUACCAUUAUUUUAUUUUAUUCCAAGCAAUACAUGGCUGGGGUAGCCAAUGACCACUUUGCGUGGCGAUUGCAGGGUUUUUAUAGCCAACCACGGCUAUCAUGCACAGAGUGCAAAAUAAUUGUGUACGGGUUCAUCACAUGAUGUGAAGUUCUGCCGUCGCGGACCCCAUACUCCAUAGACUAGAGUUGCACACUCUUGGGGGUUAUGUACU